rnacentral:rRNA from 1 species
CCUACGGGAGGCAGCAGUGGGGAAUAUUGGGCAAUGGGCGCAAGCCUGACCCAGCAACGCCGCGUGAAGGCAGAAGGCUUUCGGGUUGUAAACUUCUUUUCUCAGGGACGAAGAAAGUGACGGUACCUGAGGAAUAAGCCACGGCUAACUACGUGCCAGCAGCCGCGGUAAUACGUAGGUGGCAAGCGUUAUCCGGAUUUAUUGGGCGUAAAGGGCGUGUAGGCGGGAGCGCAAGUCAGAUGUGAAAACUCAGGGCUCAACCCUGAGCCUGCAUUUGAAACUGUGUUUCUUGAGUGCUGGGGAGGCAAUCGGAAUUCCGUGUGUAGCGGUGAAAUGCGUAGAUAUACGGAGGAACACCAGUGGCGAAGGCGGAUUGCUGGACAGUAACUGACGCUGAGGCGCGAAAGCGUGGGGAGCAAACAGGAUUAGAUACCCGGGUAGUC